rnacentral:rRNA from 1 species
UUAAGCGACUAAGCGUAUACGGUGGAUGCCUUGGCAGUCAGAGGCGAUGAAGGACGUAGUAACUUGCGAAAAGCGUUGGCGAGCUAGUAACAAGCAUUUGAGCUAACGAUGUCCGAAUGGGGGAACCCAGCAGCAUAAGCUGUUAUCACUGCAUGAAUACAUAGUGUAGUGAGGCAAACGAGGGGAACUGAAACAUCUAAGUACCCUUAGGAAAAGAAAUCAACCGAGAUUCCCCUAGUAGCGGCGAGCGAACGGGGAUUAGCCCUUAAGUCAGAGGGGUGUUAGUGGAAUGGUCUGGAAAGUCCAGCGGCACAGGGUGAUAGCCCCGUACACGAAAACUAACCUUUGAUGAAAACGAGUAAGGCGGGACACGUGAUAUCCUGUUUGAAUAUGGGGGGACCAUCCUCCAAGGCUAAAUACUCCUGACUGACCGAUAGUGAACCAGUACCGUGAGGGAAAGGCGAAAAGAACCCCUGUGAGGGGAGUGAAAUAGAACCUGAAACCGUAUACGUACAAGCAGUGGGAGCGGUUCUUGAGACCGUGACUGCGUACCUUUUGUAUAAUGGGUCAGCGACUUACGUUUUGUAGCGAGGUUAAGCGAAUAGCGGAGCCGUAGGGAAACCGAGUGUUAACUGCGCGUUUAGUUGCAAGGCGUAGACCCGAAACCCGGUGAUCUAGCCAUGGGCAGGUUGAAGGUUGAGUAACAUCAACUGGAGGACCGAACCGACUAAUGUUGAAAAAUUAGCGGAUGACUUGUGGCUGGGGGUGAAAGGCCAAUCAAACCGGGAGAUAUCUGGUUCUCCUCGAAAGCUAUUUAGGUAGCGCCUCGGACGAACACCUUUGGGGGUAGAGCACUGUUAAGGCUAGGGGGUCAUCCCGACUUACCAACCCUUUGCAAACUCCGAAUACCAAAGAGUGCUAUCCGGGAGACAGACGGCGGGUGCUAACGUCCGUCGUCAAAAGGGAAACAACCCAGACCGUCAGCUAAGGUCCCAAAGUGUAUGUUAAGUGGGAAACGAUGUGGGAAGGCUUAGACAGCUAGGAUGUUGGCUUAGAAGCAGCCAUCAUUUAAAGAAAGCGUAAUAGCUCACUAGUCGAGUCGGCCUGCGCGGAAGAUGUAACGGGGCUAAACAUACCACCGAAGCUACGGGUGCAAUCCAUUAGGGUUGCGCGGUAGAGGAGCGUUCUGUAAGCCGUUGAAGGUGAAGGGGUAACCCACACUGGAGGUAUCAGAAGUGCGAAUGCUGACAUGAGUAACGAUAAAGGGGGUGAAAAACCCCCUCGCCGAAAGACCAAGGGUUCCUGUCCAACGUUAAUCGGGGCAGGGUGAGUCGACCCCUAAGGCGAGGCCGAAAGGCGUAGUCGAUGGGAAACAGAUUAAUAUUUCUGUACUUCCGCUAACUGCGAUGGAGAGACGGAGAAGGCUAGGCUAGCGCGGCGUUGGUAGUCCGCGUUUAAGGUGGUAGGUGGGUGACUUAGGCAAAUCCGGGUCACCAUACACUGAGAGCUGAUGACGAGUCCCCAAGGGGAUGAAGUAGUUGAUGCCAUGCUUCCAGGAAAAUCUUCUAAGCUUCAGGUUAGCGGGAAUCGUACCCCAAACCGACACAGGUGGUCGGGUAGAGAAUACCAAGGCGCUUGAGAGAACUCGGCUGAAGGAACUAGGCAAAAUGGUACCGUAACUUCGGGAGAAGGUACGCUGCUGUUGGUGAUGGGACUUGCUCCCUAAGCUGACGGCAGUCGCAGAUACCAGGUGGCUGCAACUGUUUAUCAAAAACACAGCACUGUGCAAAAUCGCAAGAUGACGUAUACGGUGUGACGCCUGCCCGGUGCCGGAAGGUUAAUUGAUUGGGUUAUCGCAAGAGAAGCUCAUGAUCGAAGCCCCGGUAAACGGCGGCCGUAACUAUAACGGUCCUAAGGUAGCGAAAUUCCUUGUCGGGUAAGUUCCGACCUGCACGAAUGGCGUAAUGAUGGCCACGCUGUCUCCAGCCGAGACUCAGUGAAGUUGAAAUUGCGGUGAAGAUGCCGUAUACCCGCGGCUAGACGGAAAGACCCCGUGAACCUUUACUAUAGCUUGGCACUGAACAUUGACCCUACAUGUGUAGGAUAGG